rnacentral:lncRNA from 1 species
AUUCUGUCCAAGUGUCAGCCUGAAUUGCCAGUACAGAGGGUGGAGCCAGGAGAAUAUAUUAAUCUUGAACCAGCAAACACCAGGCCUCUUCUACUUCUGUAUGGAUAUUGACUGGGGUUGCUGCAAAACAACCACUGAAAUGGAAUAAACUAGAUUAGGUUAUGAUGACCAAUAAAGGGAUUGAGCCUGCAAAUCUCUGUGGACUUUCACUGAAGGAAUACCCUAUGAUGAUCGGGUAAGAUUUCCACUGAUGGACUUCUUUGACUAUCCAUGGAUCUCCCCAAAACCACAUCCAUAUGGUACCAUGUAGGAGCUUUUACACCAAAUUACCUGGGAAUUUCUACAAGUUACUUGGAACCAGAGAAGCAGAUCUACCAGGAGGACACCCUCUUCAGAAGUGCCCUGAGAAUGAGACCUAUUCCAGAAUGUGCAAGGGAAGAUGUUUCUAGGCACCAGACACCUGCUUGGGACAUGUGGGACUCAAUUUGAAAUGUGCUGAUUAAAUAGAUGUUCAGAAUGGGUUACAGAUUACAAGGAGACUUGAUAGUACAUAAUACUCUGGGGCUUUUUGUUUCAUGGUGUUUAUGUCUGAUGAGUUUUUUUUGCUUGUCUUGGUGACAUGUAAAUCUUUUCUCUCAAAUUAGUCCAUGGUGAAGCCAUCUAAGUAGUUGGAUUUGUAGCCUGACUUAGUUUAUUUAUAGAUUCUUAUUUGUCUCCUAAGGGGAGGAUUGUGACUACUUGAACUCUUUGAGCCUCUUAAGUAUUCUAUCAUUCCAUCUAGAAAAUUCUAAUAGAUAAGGUAGUUAAAUAAGUGAUCCUAGGAAUUGAGAAUCCUAGGAUCAAAGGGGCAAACAUUACACUUAAAAAUAGGUUUAAUGACGAUUGCAAAUAUCAAUAAUAUGGAAAUAGGUAUUGAACAAUGUUAUGUAUAUAACUCAAUGGGAUUGCUUAUCAGCUCCAGGAAAGGGGAGUGAAGAGGGAUGGGAAAGAUCAUAAAUCAUUUAACCAUGGAAAAAUAUUCUAAAUAAAUAAAUUUUUAAAAAUAGGAUUAGUGACUCC